AUCACUAGGUUACAAAUUAACUUUGGUUUGUUUUAUGAUGAUUUAUACACAAGAUUUUUAGCAAUUCUUUCCAUUCUUUUCAUUACGUACACAACGCUCCUUAACAUAAAAACUUUAUUUAAUACGAGUACAUUUAUACAAUUAUGAUAGCAGACUUCUAAAGAGCGUUUGGACAAGAUAAUGUUACCAAAGAAGCGAUGACCUACCGACUUGAGGCCACCUUCCAGCGCCAUGAACGCGAACGCGCCCAACAGCGUGUAACCCAGCACGAGUACGCAGACACCCAGACUGGCCAGUAAUCCCGGUGUCUUGGUAGAUGUUGCCGUACUGCAGCUACAACAACAGCACAACAACUCCGCUCCCCGGACAGAAGCGUUGAUCCUCAACGCGUCCGCGUUUGCGUUCGCGUUCCUUCCUGGACAGCAUCUCGGCGCCCUCUGAUAGUAGUCGCCUGUGCUCUGCAUUAUGUUUUAGCCACCGUCUGCACGCUGCUACCGGCAGCUUCCUCGUCGCCGCAGCUGCAGCUGCAGGUGCAGCGACCGACGCCGCAGCUGCAGCCGCAACCGGUCGCCUCCUAUCGUUCCACUAUCCUCCCUCGAGCCUCGUCCAUUUGGUGCGCUGGCAAGCCUGUCGCAGAGAUUACCCGUGAUCCCAUUAGAUCUUGUCGCUUGCAACUAUAUCGCCCUAAGGCUCUGUGCAGACGAGGAAUGCGACGUCUCGCGCCAUUCCGAUUUCAUAGCGCUGACGCUACACAAUUCGACAAGUUUCAAUUUUUGAUACAAUCUGAGCAUACAAUCGAAGAGCUUCUGACUAGACUGCACACAUAUAUUGAUUAACGUUCUUUAUUAAGAAAAAAAAAAAAAAAAAGAAAAAGAGAAAGGAAGAAAAAAAGUUGAGAUGAGAAACGACGAGGUGAAUAUUUGGCGAGAAAAGUACAGGUAGAAAUUGCGACCGCGAAACAGGGGUAUGAUUCAGAGCCGUGAACCGUUGUAGACCAGUGUCGUGCGGCGGUGUAUGUGGAGCGUACAAGGGUAAGAUAGAAGGAUUCGCAGCCGCCCCAGUUGAAGCAUUGUACCGUGGUUACCAGAGAUAAGGC
rnacentral:misc_RNA from 1 species